GAUGAACGCUGGCGGCGUGCUUAACACAUGCAAGUCGAACGGAAAGGCCCCAGCUUGCUGGGGUACUCGAGUGGCGAACGGGUGAGUAACACGUGGGUGAUCUGCCCUGCACUUUGGGAUAAGCUUGGGAAACUGGGUCUAAUACCGAAUAUGACCACUUCUUGGAUGUUGUGGUGGAAAGCUUUUGCGGUGUGGGAUGAGCCUGCGGCCUAUCAGCUUGUUGGUGGGGUGAUGGCCUACCAAGGCGGCGACGGGUAUCCGGCCUGAGAGGGUGUACGGACACAUUGGGACUGAGAUGCGGCCCAGACUCCUACGGGAGGCAGCAGUGGGGAAUAUUGCACAAUGGGCGCAAGCCUGAUGCAGCGACGCCGCGUGGGGGAUGAAGGCCUUCGGGUUGUAAACUCCUUUCGCUAUCGACGAAGCCACUUGUGGUGACGGUAGGUAGAUAAGAAGCACCGGCUAACUACGUGCCAGCCGCCGCAGUAA
rnacentral:rRNA from 1 species